rnacentral:rRNA from 1 species
CCUACGGGAGGCAGCAGUGAGGAAUAUUGGUCAAUGGACGGAAGUCUGAACCAGCCAUGCCGCGUGCAGGAAGACGGCUCUAUGAGUUGUAAACUGCUUUUGUACAAGGGUAAACCUGAAUACGUGUAUUCAGCUGAAAGUACUGUACGAAUCAGGAUCGGCUAACUACGUGCCAGCAGCCGCGGUAAUACGGAGGAACCAAGCGUUAUCCGGAUUUAUUGGGUUUAAAGGGUGCGUAGGCGGAUUGACAGGUUAGAGGUGAAAUGUUCGGGCUUAACUCGGGAACUGCCUCUAAUACUGGUGAGCUAGAGAGUAGGUGCGGUAGGCGGAAUGUAUGGUGUAGCGGUGAAAUGCUUAGAGAUCAUACAGAACACCGAUUGCGAAGGCAGCUUACCAAUCUAUAUCUGACGUUGAGGCACGAAAGCGUGGGGAGCAAACAGGAUUAGAUACCCGUGUAGUC